UAUUCAUCCAUCAUCAGGUAUUCAGUAUCUGUUGUUUUUUUCACAGUUUCAAGCUCAGCAGUCUGCUGUAUGAGAUGAACAGGUCAGUCAUCAGUUGCACUUCAUCCUCCUGCAAAACUCCAGCUUAAUUCCUGCUUCUCCAGCUGUUUUAUUGUGUAGUUGCUUUUUUUAACUGUUGUCAGACAUUUUACUUCUCUGUUUUGUGGUCUGGCUUUUGUCAUCAGUUUCAGGGCAACACCACAAAACUAAACAGAGACCACCAGAAUAGACGUUCUCAGCUUCUCAGACUAAAAGUGUCAUGUUCUCAGAUGGUGGGAGGACUUAAUGGGUAAUGGAGGUCCUAAACAACACCCCCUGACAUUCACUAAACCACCCCCACAUACUACAACUGUCCAUUGCAUGUAUAUUGUAAAAGGGUCAAAAUGAUAAUAAUUGUAAAUUUUUAAAUAAAGGCGUUUCAUAUUUUU